rnacentral:rRNA from 1 species
UCCGCGGUUAGACUUGGGGGCUAAAUAAAAUUUAUUAGUUAAAGUUAAUUGAAUUAAAUUUAAAUUAGAGUUUAUGUUAAUAAAAAGUGAAAUUAGGUUAUAAAAUAUAAAAUUUUAUUUAAUUAUAGGUGUGAUGAAGCUUAAAAAGUUGGGGUAUGAAUUAGGAUUAGAUACCCUAGUACACUUAAAUUUAACUGUAAAAUACUAGGAUACUAGAAGUUAUAUUCUUUAAAUUUAAAGAAUUUGGCGGUACUUUAGUCUAGUUAGAGGAACCUGUCUCCUAAACGAUAAUACACGCAUUAUCUUACUUAUUUUAGUAGAUCAGCCUGUAUACCGUCAUUAUAAGAUAAUUUAAGAGAGAAUAUUAUUAAAAUCAUAUUAUAUGAGUAUAUUAGAUCAAGGUGCAGCUAAUGAAUAAGAAGAGGUGGGUUACAAUAAAAUUUAUUUACACGGAUUUAAUAUUUAAAUAUAUUAGUGAAGGGGGAUUUAAUUGUAAAAGGAAAUUAAUAAGGUUUUUUGAUAGGAGCUCUAAAUUAUGUACAUAUCGCCCGUCGCUUUCAUUUAAGGUGAGAUAAGUCGU